rnacentral:lncRNA from 1 species
UGGUUUCCAUGGGAACAGCUGGCUGACCUCUUGUAGGGCCACCUGUGGCCUGUGCGGACACUGACAGGCGCAGAAAAGACGCCCAAUGCCAGAGCAGGAAAGGCCUGGAUCCCAAGCCCCCGAAGAACCCUGGCUUGGGAUGUUCCCGAGGGUGUCUCCACUCCCCCGCCCCAGCUCACAACUGGCCACCGACUUGCUCACCCCUGCUCCCCACUUUUCGCUUUUGAAGGUGAUGCGAUCGGAGAGGGAGGUUUCCCUUCUGGAAGGAAAUCGGCCGCACGAGUGUGACAACAGGAGGAAGGAAUCCCGCACGGCCUCCUGCCAGGCAGACAGGCGAUGGGGAGUGGUGGGGACUGCGGCAAAUUGGAGAGCCAGGGCCCAUCUCGAGGGUGCGUCCGCGGCAGCCCUUUCUGGGACAUGUCAACAGCGUGUAGGGUGACUCUCCAUCUGUGUAGGGUGACUCUCCAUCUGUGACUUUCCACCUGAGGUUUUUCUCUUGGGCAGAUGGGCAGUGCCAGGGGGUUAAUACCCCGGAUCCAGCCCCAACCAGUGACAGACAGGAGCUGCAGGGCAACAGCCCAGUUCCCCGGCCCCUCCGGUAGCAGGACGCUGAGGCCUGCUCUGCGCCUUGUCCCAGAGGCACCCAGCAGUAUCCCAGAGACGCAGUCACUGCCCUCUCCUCCCCACCCCCAUCAUCACCUCCUGGGAUCCUCUCCCUAAUAAACUACUUGCACCCAGGUCCCGGUGUCAGAGCCUGCUUUGGGGGCCACGGAAACUCGGGUGAGGGCCCAAACGCUGCUAAGCUGCAGCCCCCACUGGGGUGGAGCGGGGAGGACGAGGACGGCAGGCUCAGGACUGCAAGACCUUCCCACCUUGUCAAGACAAACCGGUAUCCACAGUUCCCUGCGAAACCUCCGGAGCUUUGAUGGCCAGCUCCAAAGAAACAACACAAAAUAAAAGAGAACAAAACAAAACGCAUCUGUGGGUUGGCUCUGGUCCUUGACCUGCUGGUUCAAAGCCGUUGGUGGCAGGCAGGGCGGGAGGGGCACGGAAAGCCAAGCAGUGGGGGGCUUGGCUGGGGGAGGCGCUUCUGGCAACCAGGCCGCAGCCUGAGUGCGCUCGGUGGGCCAGGCCGCAGGGCCUGUUCAUGGGGCUCCAGCUGGAAGCAUCUGGAGGGGCC